AAUAUUCACAAAUUGAGAAAGAAGCAUUGAGUGUCAUUUAUGGAGUUAAGAAAUUCCAUCAGUAUCUGUGGGGAAGAUUAUUUAAUUUGAUGACUGAUCACAGACCUUUAGUGACUUUGUUUGGGGAACAUAAGCACUUCCCAAUGAUGGCUGCGGCUCGCAUUCAGCGGUGGGCUAUCAUCUUGUCAGCUUAUGAUUAUCACAUUUGUUAUCGUAAGGCAGAAAAUCAUGGAAAUGUUGAUGGCUUGUCAAGAGUUCCCUUGCCUGAAAUCACGGAUGUGGGCACAGAAUCACAUCAACUUUUUUCUGACUAAUAAUUUGUAAGAGGCUCCUCUUAAUGCAUCACAGAUUGACAGAGCGACUAGAACAGACCAAAAGCUUUCUAAAGUUUACCAGUAUGUAAUGGAAGGCUGGCCAAGUGAAGUGUCAGAGGAUUUGAAAGUGUCUCAUGCUAAAAAUGAUGAAUUAUCAGCAGAACAGGGUGUGUGUUAUGGGGCACACGAGUGAUCAUCCCAUUCAAAUUUCAGAAAUCAGUGUUGCGUGAAAUUCAUUCAGGACACCCUGGCAUUGUUAAAAUUAAAGCUUUGGCUCGUAAAUAUGUGUGGUGGCCAAAAAUCGAUUUGGAUGUGGAAAGAAGUUGUAAAGCGUGUGUAGUCUGUCAACAAGAACAACGAAUGCCAAAUCAAGUUCCUCUGCAUCCGUGGGAAUUUCCGGGUGAGUGCUGGAGACGGUUGCAUAUAGAUUUUGCUGGUCCUUUUCUGAAUAAUAUGUUUAUGAUCAUAGUGGAUGCUUAUUCCAAGUAGUUAGAAGUCUUUCACAUGUCGCAAAUUACCUCGCAUGCUACAAUUACCAGACUGAAGAGAUUGUUUUCAGCGUAUGGAUUACCUGAACAAAUAGUGACUGACAACGCAACUACUUUACUUUUUUUGAAACUUUUUUUGAUUUGUGAAACGGAACGGUAUUUUGCACCCAGACAUCCAGACACCAAUGGAUUGGCUGAGAGAAAUGCUGCGCUCUUCUUUCUUCUCCUUGUCCUUCGAGCAGCAUUUCCACAGAGCUCGGAUGAUGGCGACUCCUGGGAUGCUGAGGCUGGGAAUGCCGGCUAGGAUGAAGAUGAUGGCGCUGAUCCAGCUGGGAUAGUUCACCUCUUUAAGAGCGGGGAAAUCAUCCUGUUCAGACAGAAGAUGAGCUUAGUCUUCACAUACUUUACACAGACACCUCUUUAGCUGUGCAAAAUGGCGAAACUAACUUUGCUUCCGCAAUGUGAUUGUAUUUCAGCGUGAAACAUAUGGAAGCUUGUUUCCAACAUGGAGUGAAAAAAUCAAAAAGAUAAUUGUGACAUUUUUUUCACAAUUCUGAGUUAAUUUCUCAUAAUUCUGACUUUUUUCCUUACAAUUCUGUAAAUUAUUUUAAUAGUUUUUAUUUUAAAAUCAUUCACGUUUAGUACAUUUGUAGUGUUUUGAUUUUGUUUUUGUUCAAAAACUAUUUAAUUAUUUUCAUUUUACGACUUAAUAGAUUUUUCGGGUUUUAUUUCGAUUUGCUUUCAUUUUAAAAUGAUUAUUUUAUAGGUUAAUACUUUUUUAGUACGUGUUUGAUUUUUACUUUAUUUUAAUUUGACAUAUUAUGUUUUAAAAUUGCCAGAUAAAAAAAACAAAGUUGCAAGAUAUAAACUCAUAAUUCUCUGAAUACUGAAUUUCUGCUUUUUUAAUUUUUUAUUCUGAGUUGGGUUUUUACCACCACAGAAUAAAAAAUAAUUGCAAUUCAGAUUUUUUUUCUUCUUAUUUCGAGUCUAAAUUGAGAGGCAAAUUCAGAGUUGCAAGAAAGUUUGAAUUUUGAGAUGAAAAAGUUGCAGUUACCUUUUGUAUUUUGUAUAUACAAGUUGUAUUUUGUAUUUUGGAUAUUCAACAAGGAUAUUAGUUUAAUCUAUUGGAAAUUGAUUGGGUGAUGAAAAAAAUGUUGUGGAACAAUUUUCAAUUAGUUUUGUCGAGCACUGAUAACACUUUCACAGUAAAGGUGCGCUUACCGUUACUGCGAAAUUUCAAUAUUAAUCCAUACGAUUGGAACAAAAACCUGCCUUUAAAAUUUCGCUUGGCCUAAAUUUUGGCUCCACAAAAUAAAAAAAAUGUAAUUGCGAUUUUUUUAAAUACAUUUUUUUAUUUAAAAUCUCACAAGUCUUUUUUCCCCUCAGAAUUAUGAGUUUAUGAGUAUGGAGCCCCAAAAGGAACACGGUGGUGGAAAAAAUACGGGAAGGGAGGGAAAUUUGUUUUUUCAAAGCUUUGCACUCUGUUGCAAAACUUUUGCAUUCGCUCACAAAACUUUUGCUUUCUUUCUAGCGCUGUCAAACGAUUAAUCACAUCUUUUUUGUUUAUGUAAUACAUGUGUGUGUACUGUGUAUAUUUAUUAUGUAUAUAUAAAUACACACACAUACAGUAUAUAUUUAGAAAAUAUUUACAUGCAUUUACAUGUAAUUAAAAAAAUUACUAGAGUAUAUAUGCCAUUUUCUGUAGUCUGGUGCAUUUAAAUUAAUGGAGUGUCUUUUUACACACAGUACAAAUAGACCGCCUUGUUGGCAGGGGCUACAUUACCUCUGGUCCGUGGCUUUCUGCCCGAUUGCCACCAGAGGUCGUUAUCCCAUUAUAGUGACUCUCACACUACAAAGACUGUUACACAUCACCCUGGAAUGCAUUUCCCAUCACCCAUUGCAUUGAUUGCACCAACAGCUGCGACCAAUCACACACGCUAUAUAACACCCACUCAGUUCCUGCUCAGAUCGCCAAGUAUUGUCUAGCAUUUAUCACUCUCCCAGUGAUAGCUACAUUAUGGAGCCCUUCCGUGUUUUCUGAGUCUGUCUUGUUUAUCUAGUUUAUUGCCUGUGUCAUUUGUAUCUUUAUCCUAGCCUGUGAAUCUUGUUUAUUGUCUGAUCUCUGCCAGCCCUGAAGUUUAUAGCUUGCCUUGGAUCUCUCUUUAGUCUUGUCAUUUUGUACUCUGUUUGUUUCUGCUUGGACUAUUGCUCACGUUAUCGGAUUACCCCUCUUGUCAAGCCCUCUGGGCCAUACUUGUUUGCUGUUGUUCGACCCUACCUGUGUUUUAUGACCAUGUUAAGGAAUAAAAGCUUGCACUUG